rnacentral:rRNA from 1 species
AUUGAACGCUGGCGGCAGGCUUAACACAUGCAAGUCGAGCGGGGUGAUGGUGCUUGCACUAUCACUUAGCGGCGGACGGGUGAGUAAUGCUUAGGAAUCUGCCUAUUAGUGGGGGACAACAUCUCGAAAGGGAUGCUAAUACCGCAUACGUCCUACGGGAGAAAGCAGGGGAUCACUUGUGACCUUGCGCUAAUAGAUGAGCCUAAGUCGGAUUAGCUAGUUGGUGGGGUAAAGGCCUACCAGGGCGACGAUCUGUAGCGGGUCUGAGAGGAUGAGCCGCCACACUGGGACUGAGACAUGGCCCAGACUCCUACGGGAGGCAGCAGUGGGGAAUAUUGGACAAUGGGGGGAACCCUGAUCCAGCCAUGCCGCGUGUGUGAAGAAGGCCUUAUGGUUGUAAAGCACUUUAAGCGAGGAGGAGGCUCUUUUGGUUAAUACCCAAGAUGAGUGGACGUUACUCGCAGAAUAAGCACCGGCUAACUCUGUGCCAGCCGCCGCAGUAA